CCUACGGGGGGCUGCAGUGAGGAAUAUUGGUCAAUGGACGGAAGUCUGAACCAGCCAUUUCGCGUGCAGGAAGACUGCCCUAUGGGUUGUAAACUGCUUUUAUAUGAGAGGAAUGGUAUCUACGUGUAGAUAUUUGCCAGUAUUAUAUGAAUAAGGAUCGGCUAACUCCGUGCCAGCAGCCGCGGUAAUACGGAGGAUCCGAGCGUUAUCCGGAUUUAUUGGGUUUAAAGGGUGCGUAGGCGGGAUAAUAAGUCAGCGGUGAAAUUUUGCAGCUUAACUGUAAGCUUGCCGUUGAUACUGUUGUUCUUGAGUAAAGUUGAGGUAUGCGGAAUGUGGUGUGUAGCGGUGAAAUGCUUAGAUAUACCACAGAACACCGAUUGCGUAGGCAGCAUACUAAAUUUUCACUGACGCUGAUUCACGAAAGCGUGGGGAUCAAACAGGAUUAGAUACCCCUGUAGUC
rnacentral:rRNA from 1 species